GAUGAACGCUGGCGGCGUGCCUAAUACAUGCAAGUCGAGCGCAGCGGGGACGGGUGCGUAACACGUGGCUACACUCCUAUAAGACUGGGAUAACUUCGGGAAACCGGCGCUAAACCUGAUACUUAUGGAUGGAUCUUCGCUGCAUUAGCUAGGUGGUAAGGUAACGGCGUACCAAGUCAACGAUGCAUAGCCGACCUCAGAGGGUGAGCGGCCACAAUGGAACGGAGACACGGUCCAGAAGCCUACGGGAGGCAGCAGUAGGGAAUCUUCCGCGAUGGGCGAAAGCCUGACGGAGCCACGACGCGUGAGUGAUGAAGGUCUUCGGAUCGGAAAACGCUGUUAUUAGGGAAGCGGUACCUAAUCAGAAAGCCACGGCUAACUACGGGCCAGCAGCCGCGGUAAUAC
rnacentral:rRNA from 1 species